GACCUUGUUGGAUACAAAAUUCUUAAGACUAAAUUGAGAUGUGGAAAUAUUGGAAAUUUGUUAAGGGUAAAAAUUGAAAUUUCUCAUGUGGAAAUACCAUAAAAGAUUAAGGACAAAAUUGGAAUUACUCAUGUGGAAAUACUAUAAAAGGUUGAGGACAAAAUUGGAAUUUCACAUGUGGAAAUACUAUAAAAGGUUGAGGACAAAAUUGGAAUUUCACAUGUGGAAAUACUAUAAAAGGUUAAGGGCAUAAUUGGAAUUUCAACUUGGAAAUAUUAGAAAAGGUGAGGGGCAAAUUGGUAAUUUCACUUAGAAGUCUUUAUGUCUUCCAACUCUUAGAACUUUCAAGACAAUUCAAGAAAGAAGAAAAAAAAAACAAAGGAAAAGAAAAUAAGGGGAAAAUCGAUCAAGGAAAAAAAUAGGGAGAAAAUUGAAAUCUUGCUCCAAAAAUUAUUUUCUCCUAGUAUUCCUACUAAUUCAAGGAUUCUCUACAAUAUGAUAAAGUUAUUUUGGAAAAUAGGAGGCUUGUUUGGUUGAUUUGAAGCUUUGGUAAAGUGAAGAAGUUGGAAGGAAAAGAUUUUGGAGGAAACGGGAAUUGAAUUUGGACAACCGUAAAACGUCAAAAAGGUACCGAAGUUCGAUUUGCUGAUCCACCUGUUUAGGAUAUUUGCUGCGUCGUUGACAGUGCUCCCUUGUUCGGAGCUUGUAUUUUGGUACUGACUUUAUCUCUGUAUAUUUGGAUAUGUUGGUCAGGGGUACGACGGGGCCUUGUCCCGUCAUAUGACUAUGCUAUCAUCUGUAGAGGUCUGUAGACAGAGUUAUGUUGUGGGUUUUGUAUAUAUGGUUUGGGUUUUGUGUGUUUUGUGA